AAAGCUCUCAAACAUCAUCUGCUUCUUUGUUCUGCGAAAAAAUAUUUUUUUUUCCAUUCCUAAGCUUCUCAUGGCUCCCCCGCAAACUAAAAGUGUGACCAGAUACUCAAUUAGUGCUUAAGAAAAACCAAAAUCUUGCCCGCCAAACUCACAAGUGCAUGAAAUCUCUCAAAUUUCAUCAAGAUCCUCUUAUUUUCCUUAGUCCAGAAACCAUGGGAUUAGGCCCAGCUUUUAUAGAUCAAUUUCCAAAAGAACAUGAUGAUUUCUAUCCAAUGGCAGAAAAAUGUCUUCCCUACUCCAAGGACUUCACACCUCCCUAAUCUAAAUCCAGCAAAAGAUCACCAAAACCAAAAUUCAAACUCCAAAAUUGGUAUGUCCCUAAGAAGGAUUGGAAAACUUGGGUUACCAGGCUUUCUAAUGAUAGAAAUUUCAUCACAGUGGAAGCGGCUUGGCAGUUACGACGCCAUUCAAUUGAAACAAAUGAGUGAAUUUGAAGACGAUCCAGAAGAAGAAGAAAUUGUUGACAAGAAGAACAAGAUCAAGGCGAAAUAUCUAUGAUCAUUGAAGAAGAAGCAGAAGGUUUAGAAGAUGUGGUUGAAGAAUCGGAUUCCGAAAUGGAUAAACAAGGCGUCAAAAGUGAAAACUACCAAGAAAAAGAUCCUCUUGUCAAAGCCUAAGGAAAAACCAAAAUUACUCAUGGAAUUGCACCGGCUAAGAAAAAGAAACUUACUCCAAUCAAGAAAAGACAAGUGGUAAUUUCAAGUAGUAGUGAUGACAGCAAGCUAGAUACAGAUAAAUCUGAUGAUGAGAGCUACUCCAAAGAAACCCAAUCCGCUGGUUUGAUCAAAGUAUGCAUCUUCUGCCUUAGUCAUCUACCAUUUUCCUUCUCAUUACUUUUUCUUUAACUUUGGCUCAUUUAACAAAAAGAGAAAAAUACUCCUAAGAAAACUCCUCAAAGGACAAGAACUCAUUCGAAAGGCAAUAAAAGAAAGAUUCUUCCAGAACUAGAAAAGAUAAAAAUGGCCACAAAGGAGUAAUCGGCCAAAAAGGUUAAAACCUUUAAACAAGCCGAUUUGGUAUGCGACUCUAUUUAAUGGGUUUUCAUCAUGUGGUCAAUUUCUCUCUCUAAUACUUUGUAUUUGUAUACAGAAAACUUCUUCGAAAGAAAACAUUCUGGAUUCUCCUUUAAUAGGCUCAAACCUUCCACAAUCAGGUCUUAAUUAACAAAAUUUCCUUAUUCAUGUUAUUAGUACCGCAACUCCAGGAAACACUCAAAUGCCAACCCAUCAAUCUCCAUCUGUCAUUGGACCACAAACUAUUCAGUUUGGUGACUCCUCUACUGAUCCAAUUAUAUCUAUUAUGGAGGUAUUUUUUAAAACUCUGUGUCUCUGAAUCCUUUUUAAUAAAAACAAAUAAAUAAUAAUAUAUUUUAUUUGCAGCUUUCUAGAACUCCUUCUAUGUCAUCUUUUACCUCAUUCCUUAGUCAAAAAAGGUCACUUCCAGCUCUUGGUGACCCCUUCAAAGCUAUCCACACCACAGGCUCUGGAGGAAGUACUUCCAAUUCAAGCUCAAGAAUCCCAAUUAUUUCAGGACCUGAAGAAGCUUUCCAAGUUGCAAAAGGUCAACUACUGGGAUAUUUAAAUAAAGAUGUGACUGAAAUACCUAUCUUUUAGCAUGACCUUACCACUGUCCUUGCUACCUGUGAUGGCCCUGGUUUUUAGACCAAUGCGUCAGUGAUGAACAGGAAGGAUGAUCCGAUAACAAAUCUGAAUGCGGAAGCGAAAACAGAAAACAAGACUCUAAGAAGUCAAAGUGACCUUCCAUGAGGUCGUGGAACUCAACAAGAACUGAUGCGGAAGCAAAAGAUCGAAAAUAUGACAAAUAAGCCCCUAAGGGCAAAAUAGUCAUUUCUGAAACUAUAGAUUCGGGUGCUACCGAGCACACCGCUAGAAGAACAACGAAAAACUAAUCAAGCUGGACUCAAGAAUCGCAUGAUUCGGAGUCCAGAAGGAAGGAGAAAUGGCAUGACGAAGAAAAACGAGCACUUAAAGCAAAAAGGGUAAACUGGUAAUUAUUCAGAAAGAAUCGGGUGCAACUGACCACACCGUUGGAAAGACAGCAAAAAAUUAGUCAAGUUCAAAAAAAAAUUCACUUGAAUCGAGUCCGGACGAAGGAGAAAAGCCCAAAAGAAGAAUUGACGUCGCGGCGGCCCGACGAGGGGCCAUGACAGCCCCAUGCGCACGCCUAUGCACGCCGCGCGCGCGUUGGGUGCACACAUGGCUGGCAGCAGCCCAUAAAGCUGCUGUAUGGUUUUUUUUUCAAAAAAAAUCCGGAACAGAGGCUGAAUUUGGAGGCCUAGAUGAAUUUUUUUGCAAAAAUACAAAGAAGAAACCCCCUUCAAAAUUGAGUUUUCUACGUGAUACGUGAGAGAAUUCAAAAAAAACUCAUUGUAAAAUGGCCAAAAUGCCCUCCCUAGAAAUCUGGUCAAAAGAGCUAAAAAACUGCUAAAAUGAAAACUGGAAGCUGAAACUUCACAAGCGAUUUCCGGUACCAAGACGAUGUUUUAUGGAAAAAUACGAAGAAGAAACCCUCCCUAAAAUUACGUUUUCUAAUCGACCAUAUCGAAAGAAGAAAAUAAAACUGAUGUGAAAGGUCUAAAAUACCCCUAAAUCAGAUUAUGCAACAAAACCUCAAAAUGAGUUCCUAGGAGGCUCAAAUUGCCAAGGAAGAGGUUUUUCUUGAAAACGAUCAUGCACACAAACGUAACUUACCAAUUAGGACGUGCUACAAUGGUCCAUGGCUUAAAAAUACUACCGAUGCAAAAUCCGACCCCCCAACGGGCAAAAAGGCAAAGAUGAACAAGAAAAGGGAAAUUUGAAAACCAAAAUUAACAAAUGAUUUCAAAUUACCGUUUGGCCCUUGGCCACACUUCAUAUAUGAUUAAUGAGACCCUAUGAAAGAAUAAAAAUGGAAUUCCCACACCCGAUGCAAGCAUAGUGAAGCAAUGACUCGGUAUUUUUCAAUAUUUUCAUAAUAUUUCAUGAAGUUAAAAGUUACAUAGGAUAUAAAUUAGAUGUCAUUGGCCUAUGGCCUCAUCUCAUACAUGUCAAAUACAUUGUAAAAAGUGUACUUAUGUACAUAUUACAAAAAUAGAAUCAAAUUUACACAUUUUGACAUAUAAAGCUAUAAAUGGCAUUUCAAGCCAACAUUUACAAGAAAUGAGAACUUCUAGUCUACAAAUCAUCCAAGCAUGAUGUGAAUCCCGAAUCUUGAUCCCGGUACCUGAAAAAUGUCCCCACUAUGUGGGUGAGUAACAUAAAGCUACUCGUAGGAGAUGAGCAUGCAUCGACCUAGCGUUUUAUAAUUAUUUCACCUUAAGGUGAAACAUGUCAAAGAGGCUCAUGCCACUUAACGUCUAUGUCAAGUGAGACUCAGGGAUCAUCCUAAGCUACUCAUGCAAUUUAAAGUGAACAACGGCAUACAAGUAUACAUGCUCAAGUAUACUAAAUAAUGUUAAACAUGUUAUACAACAUAUAAGCAUACAAUUACAAGUACACUAGGUCAUGCUAAACAAGGUAAGCACUAUCAAGCAUACAUCUCCAAGUAUACUAAACCCUAUUAAAACAACUCAUGCAAUGUCUAAACAUACCUACACAAGUAUACAAUUAAUACGGAAAGCUCAUGAAUCAAGUAUACAAACACAAGCAUACUAAACAAGAUGAGUUGUACAUAAAACAAGUAUACAUAGCACAAGUAUACUAAAUGAAACCUACACACACGGAAUAAGUAUAUUAGCUCAAGUACACUAAAAGAGGCUCGAAUACACAAACAAGUACACUAGUCCAAGAUACUAAAUAAGGUCAAAAUACACGAAACAAGUAUAUAGUUCCAAGUAUACUACAUGAGAUCAAAAUACAUGAAGCAAGUAUACAGUCUCAAGUAUACUAAAUGAGAUCCAAAUACACAAGGCAAGCACUAAUUCACAAGCUACAAGUAAUCCAUGAUUAACAACUUGGAAUGGAAUCCGAAAUCAAGAGUGGAAAGACUAGGACAUGCGGUCACUAGACCAAGCAAGUAUUUUUGGGUAAUUACGACCCACAAGGCACUACCUAGUGCGCACAUGUAUAAGUUAUUCAGGGUAAUUACGACCCACAAGGUACUACCUAGUGCGCACUUAUGACUUAGAAGACUUUUGCCUCCGUACUAGAGCCAAACCCUAGCCAUCAUAUGAAAUAUGUCCUACAAGCUUUCCAAAAUCAAUAAGUUCAAAACUUAUACCAAAAUCAAUAAGUUAGGCCAAACUUAUAUCAAAUCCAAUAAUGCAUAAAACCCAUCUUCCAUGCACAAGUAAGGUUGAAUCCACACAAACCAUGUCCUAGAAUUCAAGUCUAAAUAGCAUAUGACAAGUCAUGUCCUCAAUAUGCAAUUUAUACAUAAAGCAAGAAUAUUUUACAAUAAUUGAACCACAUUACCAUCCUAAGCCACAAGUACUAAAUAGGCUACAAUUUAGUAUCAAGCUUUCAAGAAAAUCAAUUGUAAUAUUCUAACAAGUUAUAUACCUACACAAGAUAUAUAUAAACAAGUUAUACAAGUCAAUGAUAUUUUAUAUCAUGCUAAGUCCAAUUAUCAUUUCAAGAUGUCUCAAGUGCUAAUUCUAUAUCAAAUUAAUAACAUGCUUACAAGGUGAUUAAAUAGACCACAUUUCAAGGGAUUAUCAACAUAUUACCUCCAAUAUCAAUUUAAGUGACCGACACACUUAAAAUAAAAUUAAUUAAGCUCAUUAAUUAAUUCUUCUCUAGAUUUUCAAACAUAUCUAAAUGUCCUCAAUUUAAUAUAUGUUAAAGAACUCACCAAGGCCUACUUUAAUAUCAUAUUACAAGUUGAUUCCAUGCUUGAUACAACUAGGUGAAUUAAACUUUCACAAAAGAUAAAUAUUAAAUAAAAUUUGCAAUUCUUAUUCAAAUAACUCCAAUUUAAUAUAUAUCAACCACCAUACCAAGGCCUAAAUUUCUAGCAUUCCACAAUUUAAUUCUAAGUUGCCUAGCAUCAUGAGAAUUAAAUCUUAAACAAAGAAAAUAAUUAAAUUAAAUUCUAAAAACUAGAACAAGGUAUGCUCACAAGUUGUAUAUGCUUAUAAAACAAUCAAUACAACAAUAAUAUAAACCCAAGACACCCCCUACCUCAAUUUGAGAUGAAAAUCUCAAAAGCCAUCAAAACGAAACGGCUCCGAAUCCGACAAUACUUCGGGGUUUCGUAGGGGACAAUGCCAUUAACGAUGAACUCCAAAGAGGACCCAUGAAAAUCACAACUUGACUUGAAAACCAAACUCAAAAUUUGGCCAGAAAUGGGUUCUAAUAAGGGUGAAAGAAGCACGUAGUCAACAUGAACACAAAACGCAAAGGCCCUACUAUGUUCUAACAAAGAAAUGAAGUUCAAAUGAGGAGAGAGAAGGUGGCAGCCUCCCUUGGGUUGCCAUGGAAGCUUCAGGUCGUGCAAGAGAGUGGGGAAGAUGAAAAAAUAAAAUAUCUCAUUCCCCUUUUAUAGAAAUCUCAAAAAGUGCCUCGAACGGGCCCCGCCGGGUCUGGAAAAGUGAAAUUUGAGCAGACGCGCUCAGAUGAUGAAACUCUAUGAACAAAAAAGAUUCGAAAUGAGAAAAUAAGAAUAACGGAAGAAACGACGUCAAAAACUGAGUUCCGAGUAGAAAGUUAUGCCCCAAACAAGUUUGGCGCAAAUUGGGGCCAAAAAUCCUGAAACUGGAAAACAUCGACCAGAAGGGAGUUCUAAGAGUUUACGACUCAACGAAAAGUGAAAAUGAAUCCCGUACGAGGAUCCAGGCUCAAAACAAGAUAAUUUGCAACAACUUUCAUUAAUUGCACAAUGGUCCCCAUAAAAAGGGUUAACUGCAAAACUGCCCCAGAAUGAAAAAAUCUUUCAAAAGAUAUUUUCUUAGAUACUCCUGAAAUAAAAUAUCUUCAAAAGAUAUUUACGAAAAACACCCCAAGAAAAGAAAUUUAUUUCAAAGAAUUAUGCAUCCAUGCCCCUACGGACACCGGGAGCAACCAGAGGACUUUCCUACAAAAGUAAAGAUAUGUAUUUCGUGGAAACCACUCACGAUAAAGAUAUGUGAAGUCAAAAACCAACUCCGAGCACAAGAAGUGAGAUUUUUCCAACAAAGUGACAAACGGGGAAAAGACGAAAUAGGGAAAAGGACGAAAUAGGAAUAAGGACAAAAAGUGAAUAGUUUUGAAAAACGAAAAUUGUGGAAAUGACUCGGUCCUCAAAGGAAGUUGUCAAUCCACGGAAAAGAGUCUCAGAAACCAUUUCCGGGCACUCAAGACGACACUAAGUGAUGAAAAACCAUCCACAGAAAAGAAAAGACAAUGGAAAAAAUUUAUCCGCAAAAUUUGAGGAAAAAAGAAAAGGAAGAAAAUGACCGGGUCAUUACACUACCCUUUUGAAAAAUCCUAGAUUUUCAACUGAAAUCAAAGCUAUACCAUGAUGACCGCGUCUUCUUUUUCCUUUUUCAGUUUUUUCGGCAUUCAUUUAUUUUUAUUUUAUUUUAUUUAUUUGUUUGUUUUAUUCUUUUCCACGUUGCUUUAGGGUUUUGUUAAGCCCAAGGUAGGUUUCGAUAUCCGAAACCGAUUUUCGACACCACGUGCAUUGCAUUAUUUUAUCUUUUAUUGUCAAUGUGUGUUUUAAUUUAAUAGAAAAGUAUGCUCGUUUAAUUAUAUAUUUUGGGGGUAUGGAUGUAUAGUUUCUUCGAAAACAUUUUCGUUUUUCUUGGUUAUUUGCGUAAUUAAGUUUUCAUGGUAUUUUUAUCUUAGGAACCUUUUUGCAAUUAUUUUUAUGAGAUAUUUAGAAACGGGACCAUUUUGCAAUUUUUGAAAAGUGUGACAAGUGUCACCUUUUCCAUGGACCAUUUGUAAACUUUUGGGUAGAACACUUGGAAGCCUAGGAUAGUGACAAGUGUAAGGCCUAGAUUUAGCUUUGUGAGGAGGCCUAGGAUCAUGACAAGUGGAGGAGUGUGAUGUGUGUGUGUGAGAGAGAGGUAGUGUUGGUAUAGUAUAUGUGACUAACCAUUCAUUUUACUUAGUGGGAAAUCUAGUAAAAUGUAUUGUCUUCCACCUUGCUCUCACCUAGCCACCAUUGGAGACUUGUAAACCUGGCCUUGAAAGCUUGAUUUCAAGCAUCUUCCUUUAACCCUUUGGUCUUUCACUUCGAAGACAAAAGCUUCCUUACUCCAUUGUCCACCACACCUUGUUUGGAUUUCCAUUUUUGCUUCUAUUUCUCUUUGUUUCUAGAGAUACAAUUCUCGAGUGAGGUAGGGGUUGUCUUAUGUUUAUACUCUUAUUGUAUCUUUUGUUCCUUAUUGUUGAUAUACAUUGUAUACAUGUAAUAUGAAGUUCUAGGGUUGUAUUAGAUGAAUAUUGAUUAUAUAUAACCUAAGAUUUCAUUUUGUCGGCUUAUAUAUGGUUUACCUCUUGUGUAGUUGUUGUUUCAUUUAGUAGAAGGUUGAUUUCUAAUAUUAUUUGGUUGUUACAACUAUAGUAUUCUAGAAUUGUUCUUGUCAUUUAAUGUGUUCUGAAAUUAUACUAUGUUGUUGUUAAAUUAGGGGUUUAAAGAAUUCUAUGUUAGCAUGAAUAAAAUUCCUAUGUUGAUAACCUUGUAGUAGUGUUGUUGUAUUCACCUUGUAAACUUGACAUUGCAAAUGCCAUUGUAGCUUGAGGACUUAGGGCAUUACUUGUGUGAAUUUUGAAAAUUGAUGUGCAUAAAAGGUGGUUAAAUGCAUUGUAUAACUAUGUAAUAGUUGUAGUAUUCUUGUUGAUUUUAGAAAUACUUGGGGUAAAGAAACUUUGACAUAGAUAGGGUAAGGCCCUAGUGCCGGGGGUACGAGUUCUCCUUAAAUUAUAGUGCACACUUUGGUGGUUCCUUGCGGACGAGUAGCCCAAAAUAACUAAUUGUCUUGUGUUAUGAAGUUCAUAACCGGAUGCUGCCUCUAAGUUUUCCCUAUUGAUUAAUUUCGCAUUCAUUUACAAGUUGACAUUACUUUUGAAGUUGUAACUUGUUAUUUUUCAUUGGAUGUUCCAAUAUAUUUACGUGUAUUACUUAUUGUGGAUUACUUUCAAUUUGUUUCAAUCAUAGCUUAGGAUGAUCCCUUAACUUCCCCUUUGAAACUAGACGUUAGGAGGCAUAAUCCACAUAUGUUUGGUUUAUAUUACACAUACAAAGAACCAUUGAAACUUUAGGGUAUACGCAUAUGCAGCGUCUUAUUGAGUAAUUCAAUUACUCACCCUAGUUGAUAUUUGUUUUUCAGGCAAGGAGGUACUUUUCUUGGAUGCGAACCAUCCAUAGCUUGACUUAUGUUUACAUUUUGAUUAUCUUUUGUUUUAUGCUCACAUGCAAAUUAUUUAUCAUGUUGUAUGCAUCUUUUGGGAAUAUUGAUGUUUAUGUGUAAUAUAUGGUACUUCAAUCUCUUUUGAAGGAGGAAAUAGAAGUGGGACUAGUUAACCUUUUGGUUGAGUCCGAAGGUCAUUUCUGCUCUAGUUCUUCUUUUGUGUAAUCAUAGAGCCAUUGUAUUUCAUUUUCACUUGUAUUCAACACUUGUAUGUAUGCUCACCCACUUACACACGCUUAAAAUUUCAUGUAAGACCAAUUCAUGA